AUGCAGGGGUUGGCCCUAGCAUUACAACAUUCUAACCUGCCGGUGGUGGUUCAAACGGACUCCUCUGAAACACUGUCUAGCUUGACAAAUGAUGCACUUCUUCGUUCGGCAUAUGGACAAAUCGUCCUGGAGAUCAAGGCCCUUUUAGGUAUUAGGGAGUUUUUUCCUUCAAAGAUUAGUAGACUUCAAAAUAGAGUUGCCGAUCGGUUGGCUAAGUAUAGCCGCACCGAGCGUGCCACGGCUAUUUGGCUUGGCUCGGCUCCACCAUGUAUCGAGGAUUUGUGGCCUCUCGACUGUAACUCUAUAUCUAUGCAAUAA
rnacentral:rRNA from 1 species